UUCCCAAGAUCCUUCAGUUUGCCUACAAUGAAAGGAGAGAUAACACCUUAAGUAUUAAGCAGAGGGAAAACUCCCUUUGAAUUAUGCCCAACUACACAGCCCAGCUCUACAAAUUUAUCUACUAAUUUAAGAUGAGGUGGUUGAACGAUCUGGUCAAAGUCAUUCCAGCGAGUGGCUCAGAGCCUGUGUCUACUUAUCAGCUGGAACUCCAGCACGUUAAGUUUCUUCAGCAAAGCAACAUUCAGAGGUUAAAGAGAAAACUAACUGGUAAAAAUCAAUUCAGGGCUCAGAAGCCUGUGAUUCAUGACUCACCUGACCUGCAACGUUACAUCCUGCUGCAAAGGCAGACGCACAAAAAGAUUUCUCACGAUUUACAUUAAGAUGUAACAGCCAAAAUUAAUUGCUAUUCUGUCUUUCUGGCAAUUCUUCUAGUAUAGUUGCUGGUGUUAACGCAGGGUUUGGAAGUUGAAAAGCUAGAUAUUGUUUAUGUUAAGAGGUUUUUUUGGAUAAAAGACAAAUUUCCGCAUGAGGUCUCAUCUUUGUAUAACUUUCUGUACUACCAACAACAUUUCUUAAGCAAUUAAAAGAGUGAGAGCGAAUCUUUUCCCUUCCCUAAAUGGUAAGUGAGGACUGAACUAAAAGUAACUGUAUAUUUGCUCUGGUUUGAACUAUUUAAAGCAACAUCUCUCUAUACAGUAUUGGGGUUUAACAGCUUAGUUGCAAAUACAACAGACACUUCAAUAUAUUAAAAAAAAACCAACAAACCCAAUCUAAUUCUUUAGGCACUAAACCUAAUAAAUAUCUUUGCUGAUCUCACGUAGCUGGAAAAACCUCUUAUUGGCAGAAAGGCCCAGGUGAUACGCUCUGAUAGGCCUUGCCAUUAAUCACACUGAUAAUCAAGUACAUUUCACUGUUUUCUGGAAUGCACUCGUUUAUAUCUUAAGUCCCACCAGUUUUUAAUUAGAUUUGCUGAAGUCUGUGUGUAUAAAAUGAGUUACACAGAUUGGCUUAUGUUUGUAAGUCUCCAAUAUACUCAGCUCCCCUGUAGCCACGCAGGAAACUUCAUAUUGUCACAGCCCUCAAGCUGCUAAACCUUCCUCAAACUAUUCCAAGCUUCCCCUCUUCUCACACCCUCUCCCCAAAGGAGCUGGUUCUAGUUAUCACAAUAAUUAGUUUCUCUAAACAAGACUAGGUUGUUGCACAAUAGCUGGAAAUCUUUGGCUUUAAAGUCAGAAGUGAAAUAAAAAAGAACACAGAAAACGGUCAGGGAAUGUUCAUGUCCUGAGCAAUUCCUAAGGCAGAGGACGCUCACGUUCUGGAAGCGUAAAGGUAGAGCCACAAGGAUUUAAAAGCUUCUUUUAAAGUGUGCUAUAAGUUAAGCUUUCAUUAAUGUGAAACUCAGAGGUUAGUUCGUAUUGAGCAAAGUUCAGUGGCAAGUGGCAGCACCAACCUGCAAAGGCGGAAUGGAAAAUAUGAAAAUAAUUUAAAUACAAAUGUCAGCUUUGGAAAAGUUAUACCCUCGCAGAACACACAGCAGAAAUGGACUUGGUUUGGCAACAAAACAUACUUUUUCUAGUGACAUCAACUCCAUCAAUCACAUGCACGACCACUUGCACACAAGAAUUCACAGUGAGGUAGUCUGGAAUAAAAAUCCAGCCAAGAAUGUGUGCUCUGAUUUAUUUACACACAAUCACUUAAUAAGUGGUUUCAGCUUCUGACAAACUAUGUGGUAACGAGCUGUAGCACUGGAAAACAGGAAACACACUUGGGGAGGGAGGAAGAUACACUGUAUUUGUUUUGGUUUGCUUGUACACAGCUCCGCUUUUCAUGACAGUCUUAGUUGGGUAUAAUACCAGGACUUAAGUUUUAGUUAACAGAAUAAAAGCCUCGAAAAACAACGUUUCUGGCUGAUCAAUUGACUAAAAUAAGAAUUCAAUUCAAUAUCCAAACUUCAAAGGAGCCAAAGAAUGAAGUGUGACAUUCUUGCUAGAGAUUUUGUUGGUGAUUAAUUUAAACUUAGUGUCAGUGCCCCUGGACCAGGCCUGCCCUGGAACUAUUAGCGUUAACAGCAGCGUGCAUCUGACUUGCCUUCCAGGAAUGACAAAAUCUGGGGUACAACCCAGAGACCUGAGCUGAGUCCCCUGUGAGAAGAACGAAUCCUUGCACACCUGGCACUCUUUAACCAGCAGAUAAUCUCACAGAUUAGCACAAGCAAUUGUCUAUCCUGACACAGUACUCAGUUGGUAAAUAGCAUUAACAAAAUUCUCGAAAAAUAAAAGUUGAAACAGCUUAAACCAAAUACAUUGUACAACCAAAAAAAUCCAAAGAAAUCUCUUAACCACCACACUGUUAUCAGGUUUGUCUUCUUUCACUCCUCCCAGAACUCCCAUCUAAUCCCUCUUCUUUAACUGUAAGGGUUUUUCCUUGACCUCAGAUGGAACAGCAGCAUUUUGUAAACCUUGGGAAGUAUUUCCUUCCCAGGCCUUCAUUGUCAGACCCAUGGCAUCACCGCUAUCUCUCUUACUGACAAGAUACAAGGAAUUUUGUAAAACUUAAACCCAGUUGACGCCAUAUAAUUUCAAGACUAUGUAUGACAAUUUAUAUGAAUCCUGUCACACACAAAGGUUGUGGAUGAACAUAGGGUUAUAUGCUGGACUACCCCACUCUUCAUCUGUUUUUCCUGGCUGUUUGCAACAGUAAGCAGCAGUGUAUCUCCUUGCACGUACGUAACAUCAUUGAGAAGGGAUUCCUUUCUUGAGAAUCCCAAUCUAAACAGCCUGACCUGGUUCCCAAAAGAUCAGUUCAGUUCUGAAAUCCUAACUGCCACUGGAUUAACACUUUUUAAAAAGAUCACAUCCAGUCUGAACUCUAGGCAAAAAUCAGCAGUAUAGAAUUAGGUUUGUAAUGGCAGUUUAUAAAGCUGCAUUUAUUGUUUCAGUAUCAUCCCUUGUGACGAGUGAGGCCUUUAGACAUUGGUAACAACAGCACAAAAGGAAAGUUCAAAAAAGAUCAGGAAUUGUUUUCAUAUUACAUUGGGUUGAAACCCAUCCCAUGCCCUACAAAUGGGCUUGAUCCUUCUAGAGAUUUUCUGCAUUUGUCAUUUUAUAGCACCGUCACACUUAACCUUCCUUAUUUAUGGCUUGUUCUAAAUACAAUGGCGGAAACAGAAUCUGAUGAUGGAAAUCUCUAGAAAACCUCACUGCAACUUUACUAGGUCAAAAUAGGUGGAAAGCAAGAGCUAAUCAGACUCCCUGCACAACAACAAAAAAAAAUUUAAAGAAAAUAGCAGCUUCAGCAUAAGCCCUUGAAACAGUCUCUUCUUCCCAAAUAUUUUAAGAAUUAGUGCUACAGCGUGCAAGACAGAGUUUAUUUAACCUCAUUCUCUGCAGAAUAGCAAAACACUGUCUUCCCCUUUCCUGACCCAAACCCUCAAAGCCUACUUAUGUUAAAAUAACAUUUCAUUUACUACUUGUCACACCUAGAAUGAGUAAAGAGGUUAACUAUUGGAAGCUAUUUCUGAAACAGGUUAGGUACAGUUAGUUUAUCUUAAACUGCCAUUUGUCUGUGCUCUUUUGUGUGCAUUUUCUAAACAGGACAAAUGAAAAGAUUAUGUAAAAAAAAACCAAACAAAAACUAAUUUUAAAAAACACCAGAAUGUCAGAUUGGCUUAUGUAGUGCCUGAACCUGUAAGAAUUAACAUCCCUGUUAUCUAGGAGACAGGAGACAAUGCUGACAGCAGUCCCCCCAAAAAUGUUAGUUUAACCACAACACUGUGAGCAGUGCAAGGAAGUGCUUUAUACUUGAGAUGACACAUGAAAACCAAUAUUGCUUGGGCAAUCUUACUUAAGUAGUUAUCCUUUUGACAUACAUCAAUCCAGUUAAGAUAUUAUCCAAGCAAUACCAUACAACACGACGAUGGGGGCACAUACAUUCAAAUGAGUUAUAUUCAGUAAAUUCUCCUUUGUACAAGCAAGUAGAGUCAAUAGCAAUAGAACUGUAAAAAGUCAAGACACAAUGAGCUACAAAGUUAGGAAAUCUAAUUCCACUCCUAGCAAGGCCAGGUGUCUGUUGGUAACACAAAGUAGGUCUAAUUCAGCCUCCACACAUAGGGAACUGAAAUACUAUAUAAAUCAAGGUAAACAUGAAGACUUGGAGGUAUAUAGGUUGGAAGUGCUACAAAAAGUACUAGAGUUAUUUCUUCAGACACAAGAUCCAACAUGCUCAGCUGUUACAGCUGGCUGACUUCUUUUACUUAAAGGUUUAGUGAAAACCCUGUUUUAUCCCUUUCAUGGGAAUGUUUCCUUUGAAGGUUUACUUGUGGAGAGAAAGGGCAGAGCAGUUGGUCUAUUUCAAACCAUUUUCCCCUGCUUUUACAUGCAUUAAUAUUUCAUUGGUUUUGGUCUUGAGUAUUUCUUUCUUUAAAUGUAACUAAUAAAUUUUUCUGUACGAGAGAAUUAUUUGGCUAGAACUUACUGUACGUGAAACCAAGAAAGAGAGCUAGACAGAAAUCAGGAGUUUUGUUUAACACAGAACAAGUAUUUCCUUUAAGAUUUACCUUCUUUAAAUUUUAUAUGAGAGAUUCUACUCAUGCAUUUUUCUUUUUCUAGAUUAUUACGCUAAUUAUACAUAUAUGCUACUUACCUAACAUUUCUUUCUUUAAUUUUUCAUUCCGCUCUUCAAUUUGUCUAGGUAAUCGCUGUGGAGAGAGAUGAAAAUUGUUUAUGCUUAUGGAAUUGUCAUACACAUAUCCAGGACACACUGUUUAUGGCUUAAAAGGAACCCUUAUUCAAGCCACCCUUUCAUCUUAUUUUGGAAACCUGUAAUUCAACCGAUGACAUCAGUUCACAUAAAGAGUAAGUUGUAACUUGUGAGUGCAGGUUUCAUACAGACAUACAUUUUUGCUGCUGAAAAACAGAUCUGAUCUAUUUGCUUGGGAUUUUAGCUGGAAAGCUUAUGAAAUUUAAGAGGCUUACAAUUAAAGUGUAUUUUAACCCUGUC